rnacentral:lncRNA from 1 species
UUCACCUUCAUUUUCUAGUGUAGAUUAGCCAAAGAGGGACCCGAGCCGCGAAGGAGGACUAGCAGAGCUGUCGUACCCAAAGCCCUCCUGCUGAUAGGUUUUGAUUUUUUUCCUUUUCCAUCCAACCGAGGCCUCCUAACUCAUUUUUCGUAGGUUUACGGGUAAAACUGGCCAAAAUCGGCCAGGCCGAGGUGAACCGCCAUUGUGGACAGCAGAGCCAGCAU